rnacentral:lncRNA from 1 species
UUGAAAUUCCUUUUGUUUGUAGGACUGCGUGGUUGGCUGCUCGGUGGGGGUCCAGGCUGUGUGAAGGUCACACGUAGGAGUUUGAAAUUCUUGCUUCAGGCCAUAUGGAGUGGAUAUUCCUUCCAGAAGGAAAUUAUAGACUGCUCUCUGUUUCUACUCAACUGCUUUUCACUUACUAAGUGGACUCUUUGAAGCAGCCUUUUAUUUACCUCAGAUUCUGACAUGAAUAAUUGUUUAAUUGCCUUUCAGCCUACACAAGAUAAGGAACCAUGUCUCAAAAAUUGUAUAAUUCUCUUAACUAAACAAUAGCCCA